rnacentral:rRNA from 1 species
AUUGAACGCUGGCGGCAGGCCUAACACAUGCAAGUCGAGCGGAUGAAGGGUACUUGCUUCUGGUUUCAGCGGCGGACGGGUGAGUGAUGCCUAGGAAUCUCCCUGGCUGUGGGUGAUAACGUCCUGAAACGGGCGCUAAUACCGCAUACGUCCUGAGGGCGAACGUGGGGGAUCUUCGGACCUCACGCUCUCACAUGAUCCUAGGUCGGAUUAGCUAGUUGGUGGGGUAAAGGCCUACCAAGGCGACGAUCCGUAACUGGUCUGAGAGGAUGAUCAGCCACACUGGAACUGAGACACGGUCCAGACUCCUACGGGAGGCAGCAGUGGGGAAUAUUGGACAAUGGGCGAAAGCCUGAUCCAGCCAUGCCGCGUGUGUGAAGAAGGCCUUCGGAUUGUAAAGCACUUUUAGUUGGGAGGAAGGGCAGUAGGUUAAUACCUUGCUGUUUUGACGUUACCAACAGAAUAAGCACCGGCUAACUUCGUG